rnacentral:rRNA from 1 species
CCAGACUCCUACGGGAGGCAGCAGUAGGGAAUUUUGCGCAAUGGGCGAAAGCCUGACGCAGCAACGCCGCGUGAUCGAGACGCCCUUCGGGGUGUAAAGCUCUAUCAGCAAGGAAGAAAAUGACGGUACCUGACUAAGAAGCCCCGGCUAGCUACGUGCCAGCAGCCGCGGUAAUACGUAGGGGGCAAGCGUUAUCCGGAUUUACUGGGUGUAAAGGGAGCGUAGACGGCGGUGCAAGCCAGAUGUGAAAGCCCGGGGCUCAACCCCGGGACUGCAUUUGGAACUGUGCUGCUAGAGUGUCGGAGAGGCAGGCGGAAUUCCUAGUGUAGCGGUGAAAUGCGUAGAUAUUAGGAGGAACACCAGUGGCGAAGGCGGCCUGCUGGACGAUGACUGACGUUGAGGCUCGAAAGCGUGGGGAGCAAACAGGAUUAGAUACCCUUGUAACC